GACGAACGCUGGCGGCGUGCUUAACACAUGCAAGUCGAACGGAAAGGCCCUGCUUUUGUGGUGCGCUCGAGUCGCGAACGGGUGUGUAACACGUGAGUAAUCUGCCCCUGACUGUGGGAUAACUUCAGGAAACUGGGGCUUAUACCGGAUAGGCGCUCCUGCUGCAUGGUGGGGGUUGGAAAGUUUCGGCGGUUGGGGAUGGACUCGCGGCUUAUCAGCUUGUUGGUGGGGUAGUGGCUUACCAAGGCUUUGACGGGUAGCCGGCCUGAGAGGGUGACCGGCCACAUUGGGACUGAGAUACGGCCCAGACUCCUACGGGAGGCAGCAGUGGGGAAUAUUGCACAAUGGGCGGAAGCCUGAUGCAGCAACGCCGCGUGCGGGAUGACGGCCUUCGGGUUGUAAACCGCUUUCGCCUGUGACGAAGCGUGAGUGACGGUAAUGGGUAAAGAAGCACCGGCUAACUACGUG
rnacentral:rRNA from 1 species